rnacentral:tRNA from 1 species
GCCUGGAUGGCUUAGUCAGUUAAGCGUCUGACUUCAGUUCAGGUCAUGAUCUCAGGGUUUGUGAGUUCUAGCCCCACAUCAGGCU